UUAAGCGACCAAGCGUACACGGUGGAUGCCCUGGCAGUCAGAGGCGAUGAAGGACGUGCUAAUCUGCGAAAAGCGCCGGCGAGGUGAUAUGAACCCUUGACCCGGCGAUGUCCGAAUGGGGAAACCCAGUGUGACCUGUCACACUAUCGUUAGCUGAAUACAUAGGCUAACGAGGCGAACCGGGGGAACUGAAACAUCUAAGUACCCCGAGGAAAAGAAAUCAACCGAGAUUCCCCCAGUAGCGGCGAGCGAACGGGGAGGAGCCCAGAGCCUGAAUCAGCUUGUGUGUUAGUGGAAGCGUCUGGAAAGUCGCACGGUACAGGGUGAAAGUCCCGUACACGAAAAUGCACAGGCUGUGAGCUCGAUGAGUAGGGCGGGACACGUGGUAUCCUGUCUGAAUAUGGGGGGACCAUCCUCCAAGGCUAAAUACUCCUGACUGACCGAUAGUGAACCAGUACCGUGAGGGAAAGGCGAAAAGAACCCCGGCGAGGGGAGUGAAAAAGAACCUGAAACCGUGUACGUACAAGCAGUGGGAGCCUCUUUUAUGGGGUGACUGCGUACCUUUUGUAUAAUGGGUCAGCGACUUAUAUUCUGUAGCAAGGUUAACCGUAUAGGGGAGCCGAAGGGAAACCGAGUCUUAACUGGGCGUUAAGUUGCAGGGUAUAGACCCGAAACCCGGUGAUCUAGCCAUGGGCAGGUUGAAGGUUGGGUAACACUAACUGGAGGACCGAACCGACUAAUGUUGAAAAAUUAGCGGAUGACCUGUGGCUGGGGGUGAAAGGCCAAUCAAACCGGGAGAUAGCUGGUUCUCCCCGAAAGCUAUUUAGGUAGCGCCUCGUGAAUUCAUCUCCGGGGGUAGAGCACUGUUUCGGCUAGGGGGCCAUCCCGGCUUACCAACCCGAUGCAAACUGCGAAUACCGGAGAAUGUUAUCACGGGAGACACACGGCGGGUGCUAACGUCCGUCGUGAAGAGGGAAACAACCCAGACCGCCAGCUAAGGUCCCAAAGUCAUGGUUAAGUGGGAAACGAUGUGGGAAGGCCCAGACAGCCAGGAUGUUGGCUUAGAAGCAGCCAUCAUUUAAAGAAAGCGUAAUAGCUCACUGGUCGAGUCGGCCUGCGCGGAAGAUGUAACGGGGCUAAACCAUGCACCGAAGCUGCGGCAGCGACACUAUGUGUUGUUGGGUAGGGGAGCGUUCUGUAAGCCGUUGAAGGUGUGCUGUGAGGCAUGCUGGAGGUAUCAGAAGUGCGAAUGCUGACAUAAGUAACGAUAAAGCGGGUGAAAAGCCCGCUCGCCGGAAGACCAAGGGUUCCUGUCCAACGUUAAUCGGGGCAGGGUGAGUCGACCCCUAAGGCGAGGCCGAAAGGCGUAGUCGAUGGGAAACAGGUUAAUAUUCCUGUACUUGGUGUUACUGCGAAGGGGGGACGGAGAAGGCUAUGUCGGCCGGGCGACGGUUGUCCCGGUUUAAGCGUGUAGGUGUGUGCUCCAGGCAAAUCCGGUGCACUUUAACACUGAGGCGUGAUGACGAGGCACUACGGUGCUGAAGUGACAAAUGCCCUGCUUCCAGGAAAAGCCUCUAAGCAUCAGGUAACAUCAAAUCGUACCCCAAACCGACACAGGUGGUCAGGUAGAGAAUACCAAGGCGCUUGAGAGAACUCGGGUGAAGGAACUAGGCAAAAUGGUGCCGUAACUUCGGGAGAAGGCACGCUGAUAUGUAGGUGAAGUGAUUUACUCAUGGAGCUGAAAUCAGUCGAAGAUACCAGCUGGCUGCAACUGUUUAUUAAAAACACAGCACUGUGCAAACACGAAAGUGGACGUAUACGGUGUGACGCCUGCCCGGUGCCGGAAGGUUAAUUGAUGGGGUUAUCCCUCGGGAGAAGCUCUUGAUCGAAGCCCCGGUAAACGGCGGCCGUAACUAUAACGGUCCUAAGGUAGCGAAAUUCCUUGUCGGGU
rnacentral:rRNA from 1 species